AUGCAAGUCGAGCGAGAAAGGGAACUUCGGUUCCUGAGUAAAGCGGCGGACGGGUGAGUAACACGUGGGUAAUCUGCCCUCGGGUGGGGAAUAACUCAGGGAAACCUGGGCUAAUUCCGCAUGACACUUUCGAUACAUAAGUAUUGAGAAUCAAAGCUGGGGACCCUUCGGGGCCUGGCGCCUGAGGAGGAGCCCGCGGCCAAUUAGCUUGAUGGUGAGAACGGCUCACCAUGGCUACGAUUGGUAGCCGGCCUGAGGGCGGACGGUCACUGGGACUGAGACACGGCCCAGACUCCUACGGGAGGCAGCAGUGGGGAAUUUUUGUCAAUGGGGGAAACCCUGAACAAGCAACGCCGCGUGAAGGACGAAGACCUUCGGGUUGUAAACUUCUGUCGGAGGGGACGAAAGCUUUUGUGGUUAAUACCCAUGAUUGUUGACGGUACCCUAUGAGGAAGCCCCGGCUAACUCCGUGCCAGCAGCCGCGGUAAUACGGGGGGGGCAAGCGUUGUUCGGAAUUACUGGGCGUAAAGGGCGCGUAGGCGGGCGGGAAAGUCUCUCGUGAAAUCCCACGGCUCAACCGUGGAACUGCGGGAGAUACUACUUGUCUUGAGUUCGGGAGA
rnacentral:rRNA from 1 species